rnacentral:rRNA from 1 species
AGUGAACGCUGGCGGUAGGCCUAACACAUGCAAGUCGAACGGCAGCACAGUAAGAGCUUGCUCUUACGGGUGGCGAGUGGCGGACGGGUGAGGAAUACAUCGGAAUCUACCUUUUCGUGGGGGAUAACGUAGGGAAACUUACGCUAAUACCGCAUACGACCUACGGGUGAAAGCAGGGGAUCUUCGGACCUUGCGCGAUUGAAUGAGCCGAUGUCGGAUUAGCUAGUUGGCGGGGUAAAGGCCCACCAAGGCGACGAUCCGUAGCUGGUCUGAGAGGAUGAUCCGCCACACUGGAACUGAGACACGGUCCAGACUCCUACGGGAGGCAGCAGUGGGGAAUAUUGGACAAUGGGCGCAAGCCUGAUCCAGCCAUACCGCGUGGGUGAAGAAGGCCUUCGGGUUGUAAAGCCCUUUUGUUGGGAAAGAAAAGCAGCAGGUUAAUACCCCGAUGUUCUGACGGUACCCAAAGAAUAAGCACCGGCUAACUUCGUG